GCCUCUGUAGCUCAAUUUGGUAGAGCAUUUACCUUGUAAGUAAGGGGUUGUAGGUUUGAAUCCUAUUUGGGGCA
rnacentral:tRNA from 1 species